rnacentral:rRNA from 1 species
CAGUCGCCGCGGUAAUACGAGGGGAGCUAGCGUUAUUCGGAAUUACUGGGCGUAAAGCGCACGUAGGCGGCUUUGUAAGUUAGAGGUGAAAGCCCAGAGCUCAACUCUGGAAUUGCCUUUAAGACUGCAUCGCUUGAAUCCAGGAGAGGUGAGUGGAAUUCCGAGUGUAGAGGUGAAAUUCGUAGAUAUUCGGAAGAACACCAGUGGCGAAGGCGGCUCACUGGACUGGUAUUGACGCUGAGGUGCGAAAGCGUGGGGAGCAAACAGGAUUAGAUACCCGCGUAGUCCCUGUCUCUUAUAC